rnacentral:rRNA from 1 species
GAUGAACGCUGGCGGCGUGCCUAAUACAUGCAAGUCGAGCGAACGGACGAGAAGCUUGCUUCUCUGAUGUUAGCGGCGGACGGGUGAGUAACACGUGGAUAACCUACCUAUAAGACUGGGAUAACUUCGGGAAACCGGAGCUAAUACCGGAUAAUAUUUUGAACCGCAUGGUUCAAAAGUGAAAGGCGGUCUUGCUGUCACUUAUAGAUGGAUCCGCGCUGCAUUAGCUAGUUGGUAAGGUAACGGCUUACCAAGGCAACGAUGCAUAGCCGACCUGAGAGGGUGAUCGGCCACACUGGAACUGAGACACGGUCCAGACGCCUACGGGAGGCAGCAGUAGGGAAUCUUCCGCAAUGGGCGAAAGCCUGACGGAGCAACGCCGCGUGAGUGAUGAAGGUCUUCGGAUCGUAAAGCUCUGUUAUUAGGGAAGAACAUAUGUGUAAGUAACUGUGCACAUCGUGACGGUACCUAAUCAGAAAGCCACGGCUAACUACGUG